AAACAUGAGGACUAUUUGGCUGCAACAUCUGUCACCCCAUUGAUCACAAGAGUUGAUUAGAUUGAUGUGGCUGGCUAGGCAGGUGUCCCCUUCCCCUCUCUUCAUUCCAUGUGCAUCCCUCCCAAAGUCGUGUGCUCAGCCAAAGAGGAUGAUCACCACUGAUAGAGGAGGACUGGUCUUCAGUCAAGGGUGUACGAGGAGCUGCACUCCCCUGCUAGAAACUCCAAACAAGCUCUCAAUUUAGCUCAACAAAUAUUUAUUGAAUGUUUCGUGUAUGUCAGGCAUUGUUUUAGAUCGCUCAUUUGAAAUAGUGGUCUUCAAA
ensembl:misc_RNA 7SK 7SK RNA